GUUUCUGGGUUGGUGUUGUAGCCACGACACAUAAAAGAAGACUAGGAGGUUGAGGAUGAUGGCGGCUGCCAGGGCAGCCCAGCAGCGGGACCCACACAAUAGAAGGAACGAAUCAACUCCAGCAAGUUGUCCCCCGACCUCUUACACAUGUACAUGCACACAAUAUAAAUAUGUGAUGUUUUUAAAGUGUAUGUAAGUGGAUCACUUGGAUUUGGCCUGAGCCUCGUCACCCAGGUUUCAGGCUGAGGGUGAUCAAGGAGGGUGGCUCCACCUUGAGUCAUCUGCUCUGCUGAGGGAGGAACCAGAAAACAUCAAAUGAGCCAACUCCAUGCAACAAAGCUCAAUUUCAUUCUACCCACAAAAGAAGUCGAGGACUCUUUUUUUCCUGUUUGAAGUCCAUAAGCUGGGUUACCACUUCAAUUGUCUCAGGAGUGGGGUAGAUGGGCAGAAGGUGUAUCAGUUAUCAGAUCUAACUAUCCUUCCAUGAUGGUGUCCAAGGGCAGACGUGACAGCAGCUGUUACCAUGACAACCUCUUCCCUAGACACAUGCACCCUUUGGAGAUAAUCCUAAAACAUCCCCUAUCUUUCUGGAUCACUAGAAGGUGGGAGAUUGCCCUGUUAUAGUAACCAGGGCAUGGCUUUGACUGUUUCUCAUCUCCCUGGAAAUGGCCCAGGCCCUGUAACCAUAGCAACUGUCCCACAGCAGCACUUCUCCUCUAAAUAAAAACACCUGGUUGGUUUGUCCACGGACCUCCCAUAUGGGAAGGGGAGAUGGUUACCAUGGUAAUGCCAACUGGGUUGGCUGG